AAGAGGUCUAAAAAAUAAUUCAACUAGUUUAUAAACAUUUUAAAACGGAGUUUAUUGUAUUAUACCCCCUAGAACCAAGUUGAUUUAAUUAUUGGUACUCAGUUAAAGAACUUCUAUUAUGGAGAUUACAAUUAAUGCAAUAAAUUUCCUGUUAUUCAAAAAAUUUGUUUAACCUAGCUUUUUACUUUUAGUACAAUAGCAUAUUAUAGUUGGUUAAUGAAAAAAAUUGAUGAAAUAAUCCAACAAGAGUAACAAAGGCUGAUUUAGCCAUCCCAACACAUAAUAGAACACUAGUGCACUUGACAAAUCUUUAACAAGAGAAUGACACAAUCAAAAUAUUUUAUUAUUGUCCUUUGGAUGUUUGUCUUGCACUUUGCGUGUGUUCAAAAUGUGCCUAAAUUCACCUCUGAGUGUCAUCCAGUUUCAUUUCCAGCUGUUCGUGUUGAUAUAUCUCCGCGUUGUAAAGAUGUACGCGUAGCUAUGAAUCAAUGCGUUGGAGCAUGCGAAUCUAUGGACAAAAAUCCAUCAAACGAGAGGAAAUCUGUUUGCAGAUGUUGUCAACCAGUAGAUUUUAUUGAAAGAAACAUUGUUAAAGAAGUUGCAUGUAUGUCUAAUGACAAAGCUGUAACGACUCUGAUGACUAUAAAAAUUUUUGAACCAAUCAGAUGCGAGUGCAGAAAUUGUAAACCUUCAUAAAUCUAUUAAUAACUGUUAAGAGCUGGUUUCUGUUAAGAACUUAAAUUUCUGGUUUUGAAACCAGAAAUGAGUUUAAGUCAUAUUUUUUUUUUUUAUAAAAAAAAUAAUAUGCCAACCAUACGAAAUUCGCAUAGGAGUUUUUAUGAAUAAUAACAGAGUGAAGAACAAUGUAUUAAGAAAAGAUAAAGAAACAUUUGGUCGUGUGAAAUCAAAAAAUUCUUUAUUGAUAUUCUUAAGUUUUUAUGGUUUUCUCAUUACAAUAAUAUUUUCAUAAACGCUUUUUAUAUUCUGAAGGAGUAGUAUUUCUUUAAAAUAUACUAAUACUAUUUAUUUGUUGUUAAUUUUCAUAAUUAUUAUUAUUUACAUAAUAUUAUUAAAGUGAAGAAUAAAUUGGUGUUGAUU